GACGAACCGUACAAACGUUAUUCGGAAUCACUGGGCUUAAAGGGUGCGUAGGCGGCGGCGCAAGUUGGGUGUGAAAUCCCUCGGCUCAACCGAGGAACUGCGCUCAAAACUGCGUCGCUUGAGGGAGAUAGAGGUGAGUGGAACUUAGGGUGGAGCGGUGAAAUGCGUUGAUAUCCUAAGGAACACCAGUGGCGAAAGCGACUCACUGGGUCUCUUCUGACGCUGAGGCACGAAAGCUAGGGUAG
rnacentral:rRNA from 1 species